rnacentral:misc_RNA from 1 species
GGAAUAGGGAGCCAAAGUUCCUCGAGAAUGAAGAUAAACUGGCAAGCCAGUUGCUUCACUCUGCACUUAAUAAAGUGAUCAUACUCCGAGACCAAUUUGAUUGGUUCAUAGCGAAAAACGCUUCGGAGAUGUACUUCCCUCUGAGUUAUUAUGAUAACCCGGAAGAGAAAGUACCUCUAAACGAUCUACCAGGGCCAUACUUAGCCUUGGUGACCGAGAUCGAGCAAUUCUUUGAAAUGCUGAUCGGUUUAGAGAUGAACUGGACUGAUCGUCCAGAGGCUAUAUACCAAGACCUUUUUAUGGAAAUGGAUGCCACACUUUAUUACGAAGAGGCCCUUGAACUUCACGAAAGAGUUGAUAGACUCGAGUUUAAACUUAAACCUUAUGAAGGUCGAGUUAAACCCGGGAAAACAAUCCACGAGACUGCGCCCAUACUUACUGCUUUACGCGGUAUUCUGGGUACUGGUCUACGAAGAUGGAACAACUCUCCUAAUCAAGUAACUAUUAGUACGUUACUUAGUUAGGUCGUGGUAGGAUCUCCCGCCCUGAAAAUCAGAUGAAAGGCUCCUCAAUAGAGAGACCGACCCUUUGGGGACGACUCUACGAUGAGGAUUCUAUCUUUCAACUUCUCGACACUUCGGGAAACUUCUGUUAAGUUUAUUAACAAUAAAAACCAUACCUUUAGGUCCGGGUGAAAUACCGGGUAACCAUGGAGGGUAGUUCUUAUCAGAAGACCCCAAGAAACGGAAGAAGAAGAAAGAUGUGUCCAACUCGCAUAAAAUCUAUGCGCAUCGGCCUGACCAAGGGCACUGGGUGUUAUACCAGGUAACUUGGAAGGGGACCGACGGUGUGGAAACCUUUCUAUCCGAUUCAAUCGGUGGAACUUCUUAUUUCUCAAACCAGAGUGGUUCACUAAAGAACCCUUCUCGGCUUAGUACUAACGAGGCAUUUCUUUACAGAUAUGCGCAGUUAGGACUAAGGUCCGAUCUUAAC